GCUCCGGUGGCCUAGUGGUUAGAGCGUCCGCCUCGGAUGUGGAAGGCCGUGUGUUGGAUCCCCGGCCGAUUCA